rnacentral:rRNA from 1 species
GAUGAACGCUGGCUACAGGCUUAACACAUGCAAGUCGAGGGGAAACGACGGGGAAGCUUGCUUCCCCGGGCGUCGACCGGUGCACGGGUGAGUAACGCGUAUCCAACCUGCCUCUGACUGAGGGAUAACCCGUCGAAAGUCGGCCUAAUACCUCAUGGUAUCGUCUGCGGGCAUCCAACGACGAUUAAAGAUUUCAUCGGUCAGGGAUGGGGAUGCGUCUGAUUAGCUUGUUGGCGGGGUAACGGCCCACCAAGGCUACGAUCAGUAGGGGUUCUGAGAGGAAGGUCCCCCACAUUGGAACUGAGACACGGUCCAAACUCCUACGGGAGGCAGCAGUGAGGAAUAUUGGGCAAUGGGCGAGAGCCUGAACCAGCCAAGUAGCGUGCAGGAAGACGGCCCUAUGGGUUGUAAACUGCUUUUAUGCGGGGAUAAAGUGAGGGACGUGUCCCUCAUUGCAGGUACCGCAUGAAUAAGGACCGGCUAAUUCCGUG